UGCCGAUUCCCACUGCAAGCGCUUUGCUGUCUGUCAGAAUUAUGGUCAGCGAUGGUUAAGAAUUUUUAAAACAUGUGCGUUCGAUGUGCGAAUCCGCCCGGUGUCCGCAGUGAGUCUGCAGUUUGACAGAGCGCUGUCUGGAGGCGGGCCGGAUCCGGUGCACGUGGACAAAACGGGGGAGAGCAUAUGGCGGAUGUGCCGGCUUGAAGGCGGAUCCGCCCCACAGUCCUCUGCUAUCUGGACAUAUAGGCAUAUCUGCAUAUCAGAGUGGGAGAACUGCCAACAGAUUAGCAAGCUGGAUCUUUGCAUGUGUUCAUCCAUGUUUCUCCAUGAAAACCAGAAAGCCUGCCAAAGAGAGAGAGACAGCAAGAGAGAGAGAGAGAGAGAGAGAACCAAGCCCUUAAAGGAAAAUAGGCUUGUAUUGGAGACAGAUCUAUAUUUAUUUCUGUAGCAUUUAAGCUCUUUAAGCCACUGGAAGACUUUUACUGUCAAACAUUUGCAGGAAAUGUGAGUUUCAUUGAUGCAUUUAGUAGCUUAACUACAGCAAAAGAGAAGCAUUUGGAAUGAAUGUGUGAAUGAACAUUCUGGGGAAUAUAAAAUUUGAGUUAGAAGGGUCUUAGAUUUAUUAAAAAGUCUUAAAUUUAAUAGUCAAAAUAAGGCCUUAAAGUAUUAAAUUUAUUUUAUAAAGUAUCACAUUUCGUUUACAAAGAUCUUACAUUUUUUCUUGUCCUUUCAUAGGAUUAACCCCUUUAUGCCGAUUGUCACAUAUUCAUCACACCUCUUCCUUUCAGACUGCAGUUCCCCAAAUGCCUGUUUGUGCAUAUUUGAUACAUACCUGGGAACCUUUUGCAAGCCCUGGUUUCUCGUUUUUUCCUGUUGUCGCUAAUUUGUCGCUACA